CAGUAGCCGCGGUAAUACGUAGGGUGCAAGCGUUAAUCGGAAUUACUGGGCGUAAAGCGUGCGCAGGCGGUUUGUUAAGACAGAUGUGAAAUCCCCGGGCUCAACCUGGGGACUGCAUUUGUGACUGGCAAGCUAGAGUGUGGCAGAGGGGGGUGGAAUUCCGCGUGUAGCAGUGAAAUGCGUAGAUAUGCGGAGGAACACCGAUGGCGAAGGCAGCCCCCUGGGCCAACACUGACGCUCAUGCACGAAAGCGUGGGGAGCAAACAGGAUUAGAUACCCGUGUAGUCCCUGUCUCUUAUAC
rnacentral:rRNA from 1 species